GGUUAAGCGACCAAGCGUACACGGUGGAUGCCCUGGCAGUCAGAGGCGAUGAAGGACGUGCUAAUCUGCGAUAAGCGCCGGUAAGGUGAUAUGAACCGUUAUAACCGGCGAUUUCCGAAUGGGGAAACCCAGUGUGAUUCGUCACACUAUCAUUAACUGAAUCCAUAGGUUAAUGAAGCGAACCGGGGGAACUGAAACAUCUAAGUACCCCGAGGAAAAGAAAUCAACCGAGAUUCCCCCAGUAGCGGCGAGCGAACGGGGAGGAGCCCAGAGCCUGAAUCAGCAUGUGUGUUAGUGGAAGCGUCUGGAAAGGCGCGCGAUACAGGGUGACAGCCCCGUACACAAAAGCGCAUGUGCUGUGAGCUCGAUGAGUAGGGCGGGACACGUGGUAUCCUGUCUGAAUAUGGGGGGACCAUCCUCCAAGGCUAAAUACUCCUGACUGACCGAUAGUGAACCAGUACCGUGAGGGAAAGGCGAAAAGAACCCCGGCGAGGGGAGUGAAACAGAACCUGAAACCGUGUACGUACAAGCAGUGGGAGCACAGGUUUACCUGUGUGACUGCGUACCUUUUGUAUAAUGGGUCAGCGACUUAUAUUCUGUAGCAAGGUUAACCGCAUAGGGGAGCCGAAGGGAAACCGAGUCUUAACCGGGCGUUAAGUUGCAGGGUAUAGACCCGAAACCCGGUGAUCUAGCCAUGGGCAGGUUGAAGGUUGGGUAACACUAACUGGAGGACCGAACCGACUAAUGUUGAAAAAUUAGCGGAUGACCUGUGGCUGGGGGUGAAAGGCCAAUCAAACCGGGAGAUAGCUGGUUCUCCCCGAAAGCUAUUUAGGUAGCGCCUCGUGAAUUCAUCUCCGGGGGUAGAGCACUGUUUCGGCUAGGGGGUCAUCCCGACUUACCAACCCGAUGCAAACUGCGAAUACCGGAGAAUGUUAUCACGGGAGACACACGGCGGGUGCUAACGUCCGUCGUGAAGAGGGAAACAACCCAGACCGCCAGCUAAGGUCCCAAAGUCAUGGUUAAGUGGGAAACGAUGUGGGAAGGCCCAGACAGCCAGGAUGUUGGCUUAGAAGCAGCCAUCAUUUAAAGAAAGCGUAAUAGCUCACUGGUCGAGUCGGCCUGCGCGGAAGAUGUAACGGGGCUAAACCAUGCACCGAAGCUGCGGCAGCGACGCUUAUGCGUUGUUGGGUAGGGGAGCGUUCUGUAAGCCGUUGAAGGUGGCCUGUGAGGGUUGCUGGAGGUAUCAGAAGUGCGAAUGCUGACAUAAGUAACGAUAAAGCGGGUGAAAAGCCCGCUCGCCGGAAGACCAAGGGUUCCUGUCCAACGUUAAUCGGGGCAGGGUGAGUCGACCCCUAAGGCGAGGCCGAAAGGCGUAGUCGAUGGGAAACGGGUUAAUAUUCCCGUACUUGGUGUUACUGCGAAGGGGGGACGGAGAAGGCUAUGUUGGCCGGGCGACGGUUGUCCCGGUUUAAGCGUGUAGGUGUGUGUUCCAGGUAAAUCCGGUUCACUUUAACACUGAGGCGUGAUGACGAGGCACCACGGUGCUGAAGCAACAAAUGCCCUGCUUCCAGGAAAAGCCUCUAAGCAUCAGGUAACAUCAAAUCGUACCCCAAACCGACACAGGUGGUCAGGUAGAGAAUACCAAGGCGCUUGAGAGAACUCGGGUGAAGGAACUAGGCAAAAUGGUGCCGUAACUUCGGGAGAAGGCACGCUGACACGUAGGUGAAGUGGUUUACCCAUGGAGCUGAAGUCAGUCGAAGAUACCAGCUGGCUGCAACUGUUUAUUAAAAACACAGCACUGUGCAAACACGAAAGUGGACGUAUACGGUGUGACGCCUGCCCGGUGCCGGAAGGUUAAUUGAUGGGGUCAGCGCAAGCGAAGCUCCUGAUCGAAGCCCCGGUAAACGGCGGCCGUAACUAUAACGGUCCUAAGGUAGCGAAAUUCCUUGUCGGGUAAGUUCCGACCUGCACGAAUGGCGUAAUGAUGGCCAGGCUGUCUCCACCCGAGACUCAGUGAAAUUGAACUCGCUGUGAAGAUGCAGUGUACCCGCGGCAAGACGGAAAGACCCCGUGAACCUUUACUAUAGCUUGACACUGAACAUUGAGCCUUGAUGUGUAGGAUAGGUGGGAGGCUUUGAAGCGUGGACGCCAGUCUGCGUGGAGCCGACCUUGAAAUACCACCCUUUAAUGUUUGAUGUUCUAACGUGGACCCGUGAUCCGGGUUGCGGACAGUGUCUGGUGGGUAGUUUGACUGGGGCGGUCUCCUCCUAAAGAGUAACGGAGGAGCACGAAGGUUGGCUAAUCCUGGUCGGACAUCAGGAGGUUAGUGCAAUGGCAUAAGCCAGCUUGACUGCGAGCGUGACGGCGCGAGCAGGUGCGAAAGCAGGUCAUAGUGAUCCGGUGGUUCUGAAUGGAAGGGCCAUCGCUCAACGGAUAAAAGGUACUCCGGGGAUAACAGGCUGAUACCGCCCAAGAGUUCAUAUCGACGGCGGUGUUUGGCACCUCGAUGUCGGCUCAUCACAUCCUGGGGCUGAAGUAGGUCCCAAGGGUAUGGCUGUUCGCCAUUUAAAGUGGUACGCGAGCUGGGUUUAGAACGUCGUGAGACAGUUCGGUCCCUAUCUGCCGUGGGCGCUGGAGAACUGAGGGGGGCUGCUCCUAGUACGAGAGGACCGGAGUGGACGCAUCACUGGUGUUCGGGUUGUCAUGCCAAUGGCACUGCCCGGUAGCUAAAUGCGGAAGAGAUAAGUGCUGAAAGCAUCUAAGCACGAAACUUGCCCCGAGAUGAGUUCUCCCUGAGACUUUGAGUCUCCUGAAGGAACGUUGAAGACGACGACGUUGAUAGGCCGGGUGUGUAAGCGCAGCGAUGCGUUGAGCUAACCGGUACUAAUGAACCGUGAGGCUUAACCUU
rnacentral:rRNA from 1 species